rnacentral:ncRNA from 1 species
ACAUUGCCGCAACGCACUGGUUCUCCGGUACGCACCGGAGAGGCAAGAGGGAACACGGAACGGCUUUCGGGCCGAAGCCGUGGCUGCCCCCGCAACUGUGAGCGGCGAGUUUGCUGUCCAAUCUUGGCCACUGGGCAACCGGGAAGGCCGGACGGUAAAUCAGGACCCGCAAGCCAGGAGACCUGCCAGCGCAGUCACCCAACC